rnacentral:rRNA from 1 species
UACGGGGGGGGCAAGCGUUGUUCGGAAUUACUGGGCGUAAAGGGCUCGUAGGCGGCCAACUAAGUCAGACGUGAAAUCCCUCGGCUUAACCGGGGAACUGCCUCUGAUACUGGGUGGCUUGAGAUUGGGAGAGGGAUGCGGAAUUCCAGGUGUAGCGGUGAAAUGCGUAGAUAUCUGGAGGAACACCGGUGGCGAAGGCGGCAUCCUGGACCAACACUGACGCUGAGGAGCGAAAGCCAGGGGAGCAAACGGG